GACGAACGCUGGCGGCGUGCUUAACACAUGCAAGUCGAACGAGGAAAUUGACUUCGGUUGAUUUUCGAGUGGCGGACGGGUGAGUAACGCGUGAGCAAUCUGUCCUACAGAGGGGGAUAACAACUGGAAACAGUUGCUAAUACCGCAUAAGACCACACUGCCGCAUGGCAGAGGGGUCAAAGGAGCAAUCCGGUAAAAGAUGAGCUCGCGUCCGAUUAGCUAGUUGGUGAGAUAACAGCCCACCAAGGCGACGAUCGGUAGCCGACCUGAGAGGGUGAUCGGCCACAUUGGAACUGAGACACGGUCCAGACUCCUACGGGAGGCAGCAGUGGGGAAUAUUGGGCAAUGGGCGAAAGCCUGACCCAGCAACGCCGCGUGAGGGAAGAAGGGUUUCGGCUCGUAAACCUCUGUCCUAUGGGACGAAGAAGUGACGGUACCAUAGGAGGAAGCCCCGGCUAACUACGUG
rnacentral:rRNA from 1 species